rnacentral:rRNA from 1 species
AGUCAAGUAAUUAAGUGCAUGUGGUGGAUGCCUUGGCAGUCAGAGGCGAUGAAAGACGUGAUAGCCUGCGAAAAGCUCCGGGGAGGCGGCAAAUAUCCUUUGAUCCGGAGAUGUCUGAAUGGGGGAACCCACCUACUUUAAGGUAGGUAUUGCAACAUGAAUACAUAGUGUUGCAAGGCGAACGAGGGGAAGUGAAACAUCUCAGUACCCUUAGGAAAAGAAAUCAAUUGAGAUUCCCUCAGUAGCGGCGAGCGAACGGGGAUCAGCCCAUUAAGUUAUGUGUGUUUUAGUGGAACGCUCUGGGAAGUGCGAACGUAGAGGGUGAUAUUCCCGUACACGAAAGGGCACACAUAAUGAUGACGAGUAGGGCGAGGCACGUGAAACCUUGUCUGAAUAUGGGGGGACCAUCCUCCAAGGCUAAAUACUCCUGACUGACCGAUAGUGAACCAGUACCGUGAGGGAAAGGCGAAAAGAACCCCUGUGAGGGGAGUGAAAUAGAUCCUGAAACCGCAUGCAUACAAGCAGUGGGAGCACCUUCGUGGUGUGACUGCGUACCUUUUGUAUAAUGGGUCAGCGACUUAUAUUCAGUAGCGAGGUUAACCGUAUAGGGGAGCCGUAGAGAAAUCGAGUCUUAAUAGGGCGUUUAGUUGCUGGGUAUAGACCCGAAACCAGGCGAUCUAUCCAUGAGCAGGUUGAAGGUUGGGUAACACUAACUGGAGGACCGAACCCACUGUCGUUGAAAAGCCAGGGGAUGACUUGUGGAUAGGGGUGAAAGGCUAAUCAAGCCUGGUGAUAGCUGGUUCUCCCCGAAAGCUAUUUAGGUAGCGCCUCGGACGAAUACCAUAGGGGGUAGAGCACUGUUUCGGCUAGGGGGUCAUCCCGACUUACCAAACCGAUGCAAACUCCGAAUACCUAUGAGUACUAUCCGGGAGACAGACUGCGGGUGCUAACGUCCGUAGUCAAGAGGAAACAAUCCAGACCGCCAGCUAAGGCCCCAAAAUCAUAGUUAAGUGGGAAACGAUGUGGGAAGGCAUAGACAGCUAGGAGGUUGGCUUAGAAGCAGCCACCCUUUAAAGAAAGCGUAAUAGCUCACUAGUCGAGUCGGCCUGCGCGGAAGAUGUAACGGGGCUAAAACUAUGUGCCGAAGCUGCGGAUGUAUACUUUGUAUACGUGGUAGGGGAGCGUUCUGUAAGCCGAUGAAGGUGUGUUGAGAAGCAUGCUGGAGGUAUCAGAAGUGCGAAUGCUGACGUGAGUAACGACAAAACGGGUGAAAAACCCGUUCGCCGAAAGACCAAGGGUUCCAGUCCAACGUUAAUCGGGGCUGGGUGAGUCGACCCCUAAGGCGAGGCCGAAAGGCGUAGUCGAUGGGAAAAUGGUUAAUAUUCCAUUACUUCUGUGUAAUGCGAUGAGAGGACGGAGAAGGCUAAAUCAGCCUGGCGUUGGUUGUCCAGGUGAAAGGAUGUAGGCAUGUAUCUUAGGCAAAUCCGGGGUACUCUAUGCUGAGAUCUGAUAGCAAGCUGUACUUGUACAGCGAAGUGGUUGAUGCCAUGCUUCCAGGAAAAGUCUCUAAGCUUCAGUUACACAGGAAUCGUACCCGAAACCGACACAGGUGGUCAGGUCGAGUAGACCAAGGCGCUUGAGAGAACUCUGCUGAAGGAACUAGGCAAAAUGGUACCGUAACUUCGGGAGAAGGUACGCUGUUGUUGGUGAUGGAACUCGCUUCCUGAGCUGACGACAGCCGCAGAAACCAGGCCGCUGCAACUGUUUAUUAAAAACAUAGCACUCUGCAAACACGAAAGUGGACGUAUAGGGUGUGAUGCCUGCCCGGUGCUGGAAGGUUAAUUGAUGGGGUUAGCGUAAGCGAAGCUCUUGAUCGAAGCCCCAGUAAACGGCGGCCGUAACUAUAACGGUCCUAAGGUAGCGAAAUUCCUUGUCGGGUAAGUUCCGACCUGCACGAAUGGCAUAAUGAUGGCGGCGCUGUCUCCAGCAGAGGCUCAGUGAAAUCGAAAUCGCUGUGAAGAUGCAGUGUACCCGCGGCUAGACGGAAAGACCCCGUGAACCUUUACUGCAGCUUGACACUGAACUUUGACCUUACUUGUGUAGGAUAGGUGGGAGGCUUUGAAGCUGGAACGCUAGUUCCAGUGGAGCCGUCCUUGAAAUACCACCCUGGUAAUGUUGAGGUUCUAACUCUGUCCCGUGAUCCGGGACGAGGACCGUGUCUGGUGGGUAGUUUGACUGGGGCGGUCUCCUCCUAAAGAGUAACGGAGGAGUACGAAGGUGCGCUCAGCGUGGUCGGAAAUCACGCGUAGAGUAUAAAGGCAAAAGCGCGCUUAACUGCGAGACCCACAAGUCGAGCAGGUACGAAAGUAGGUCUUAGUGAUCCGGUGGUUCUGUAUGGAAGGGCCAUCGCUCAACGGAUAAAAGGUACUCUGGGGAUAACAGGCUGAUACCGCCCAAGAGUUCAUAUCGACGGCGGUGUUUGGCACCUCGAUGUCGGCUCAUCUCAUCCUGGGGCUGAAGCAGGUCCCAAGGGUAUGGCUGUUCGCCAUUUAAAGAGGUACGCGAGCUGGGUUUAGAACGUCGUGAGACAGUUCGGUCCCUAUCUACCGUGGGCGCUGGAAAUUUGAGAGGAUCUGCUCCUAGUACGAGAGGACCAGAGUGGACGAACCUCUGGUGUACCGGUUGUGACGCCAGUCGCAUCGCCGGGUAGCUAUGUUCGGAAGGGAUAACCGCUGAAAGCAUCUAAGCGGGAAGCCUACCUCAAGAUAAGAUUUCCCUAGGACUUUAUGUCCUCUAAAGAGCCGUUCGAGACUAGGACGUUGAUAGGUUGGAUGUGGAAGCAUAGUGAUAUGUGAAGCUGACCAAUACUAAUUGCUCGUGAGGCUUGACUAUACAACACCC